GCAGUGUUUAUUUCCCUCAGCACUUCCUGCUUCUCAGAUACUGAACAGAUUUUAAAUUAUUAUAAUUAAUUUAGGCUGCAUUGAUGAAAUUAGGAUAAAAUUUAUUAGUUUGUCUGUGGUUGAAUAGCAGAGCUUAUUUCUCUGGCAUUUCUACCAGCUCAGUUCCUCCUGGGUUGCUGUAGCUGGAAGCGGUAGCUAUUUCUUCCGAGUUCUCCUCUCUUCUCCCCUCCUCUCCCUUCCUCCACACCUCCCCUGACCUUCUGGGUCCCCCUACAUUAAAAGCACCCUGCAGAACAGAUUUGGCUUCAGGAAAAUAAUCGACUCAAAUCUUUCUCCUCCUCUUUUCCACCAUUCACACGGCACAAAGCACCAUAAGAAACUUCUUUUUUCUCCAUGUAUAAAUAAAGUUUAAUGGUGACAAAUUUGUAUAAGUUGAUUUCAAAAUGAUAAAAUGUAGACUCUGUGAAAAAAAGAUUUUCUUUAUGUUAGUAAGAGUUUAUGACAUGACAUGUUUGAUUUUUUCUUAUAAAAAGUCACAUACAAGUAUGGACGUGAAAACAUAAAUAAAAAGAUAAUAGUGAAACUGUAACUAAAACCACUACACAAAGAUAACCACUACUAAUAUUUUAGCAUGCAUAACUAAUUGCUUAUGUAUUUGUGAAUAUAGAGGGAAGAAAAUAGAUCUUCAAACUUUUUAAAACAUAAAGUACUGCCUUUAUAAUAAACAUUUUCAUUAUCACGUAGUACAAGAGCUUAAUGAUUUAUAACCUACUGAACAAUCGUCUUUUAACUCUGCAAGUUGUCUUGAAAAACCUCUCAUCACAAACACAGCUCAAGUCGGUGUUUUCGUGCACAAACCAUUGCAAACAUUGCAAUCAGUUCCUUGGGAUAGACCCUAAAGGCAGAGUUGAGAGUCAGUACCAAGUUAAUGGUGUCCUACAGGCCUUCCGGAGGAAGGUGACAGUCCCAAGAGUGGAGAUUUACCUGCUCCGUGAAGUUGGGAGGGAAGGGAGGUUGGCUGUUUGUAAACAGGAAAUGCCGUUCAAGGGGCUCACACUGAAAAGCGGUCUCAGAAACCCUAGGCACUCUGCACUCUUGAUUUUACCUCCUGGGGAGGGAACUUCCCUGUUGUCUAUUUUGCUCUUGCUCUACUUAUAUUUUUGUUUGAUUUUCAUUCCAAGUUUUUGGUGAGUCAAAAGAAGAAACAAUGUAAAUAAAAGGUAGCACUUGCUCUACUUUGCUUUUAAAAAACUAUUUAAACAAAUACAUGAAAGAGCUACAUUCAAAUCAAUAAGUUGCUACCUUAUUCCCUAACUCGGAAGAAACCAUACACACACACACACAGCUUGCUAAAUCUUUGUGCAAACCACUCAUCAUUCUAAUAUGAUUGAGCUCUAUUUUUGAUCUAACAACCUUAGAAGCUGUUUCUUGACUUCUGUCUAGUCAUCCAUCCCUUCUUAAAUUAUAAUACUAUUCUAAUUUUCUCUAUGGAUCUAUGCAAUCACAAACGAUAGACCUGAGUCUUUAUUCCUUGUCUCAUUAAUCUGAGAGAGAAUGUUUUGACACCAUUUUUAUAAAAGGUAGGAAUUCAUUUCCACCAUUCUUUCCUUCUUUUGCUAUUCAGUCUCUAUCCACUAUUCUUUCAUAUUUACAUGGUCAAAGUUAGAAAUGUUUUGUAUUUUUAAUUGUAAGUUUCCUUAUAGUGUCAAUAGCUUCACUUUAAAAUGGAUGUUGGUAUAAUGAGGAUACAUUGUAUAGAUGAUCAAGCAUUUAUCCACUGUUUGCAGUAAUCUAGUGCUUUGGGGUUUUUUUGUUUUUAGGGAGGGGGUUUGUUCCCCCUGAAGUUUUUCCACUAUGGUAAGGAGAAGAAGGCAUAGUUCACUUAUAAAAGAUGCAGAAAUGACCAUUUAGAAAUUCCCAUUGAGAAAGAAAAUGAAAUGUAAAUUCCUUCUUGCUUAUUGGGAAGAGAGAAUGCGAAGUACACAGGUCUGCCCUCCCUUCACCCUGGCUGCAGGUCUAGCCCUUCGCUUCUCCCAUCGUACAAACCACCAGGAGGCCUUCUUCAUCAGAGCCUAGCAGACGCCAGUGUGAAGCCCUUCAACCUCUAGAACUGUCAGCCACAUAAACCUCUUUUAAUAAAGUACCCAACCUUGGGUAUUUCACCAUAGUAAGAGAAAAUGGACUAAAAGUGUUUGAUAAGCACUUAAGCCAUACUCUUUCUGAGGGCGAAUACUGCUUAGAGUAAUCCACUAAAGCCAUAACAGUCACUUGUUUCUCUAUCUACUUUUGGACCAAUUGAAAUGUCAAAAUCUUCAUGAGUGGAAAUAAAGCAUCUAAGUCCUGAUGUAUUUUUAUUUUUCUCCUAUUUUUACAGCCUUUGGUUUAUUACACAUUUGUACUUUGAUAAAUUAUGAAAUCGCUCCUGUCUCAUGCACCAUGUCCUUUUAAGUGGCACAAACUGUCUCGUUUGUCCACUUCUUCCCAAAUUAGACGCUGCCUGGUGUAACUUCUCCCUUUUCAGUUGAACUUAUCCGGUAAUCAUGUGUCUAUAAACACAUAUUAAUUUUUAAUGUGUUUCUUAAAUAAAACAUAGGUAUGAAUUUUGUUUUGAAAACCAGUAUCUUUUACUUUUUGGAGGUAAAUUUACAUUAGAGGUUUAACCACUGAACAGUCUACCUCAGCAUCACUUGGGCAGGAGUCAUUUCAAACAGUUGAUUUGGGUAUUGAAGAAAUUUGAUAAAACUGUUGUUUUUGUAUUUCCUGUUAUGUUAUUCUAUAACAAUUAAUGAAAACAUGACAUUUUUGCUCAUCCUAUAUUUAAAUAAUUAGAUGGGUAAGUGGUUUAUAUGACGGAUGUGUCUAGAUUAAAUUCUAUGAUACUGUUCAUGAUUUUUAAUUUGUAGUUUGCGUUUUCUUCACUUUAGUUUGGUAUGCCUUAUAUUACUUUAUAGUAUUCACUGUUUACUGCUUAAUUUUUUUCUUUUUAUUUUAUGAAAAAAUUAAAACAUUUUCUUGAUCAAAUAAUGAGAAUAGCAAGUUAUUACACUGUAUUUUUAUC
ensembl:lncRNA